UACGGGGGGGGCAAGCGUUGUUCGGAAUUACUGGGCGUAAAGGGCUCGUCGGCGGCCAACUAAGUCAGCCGUGAAAUCCCUCAGCUUAACUGGGGAACUGCGUCUGAUACUGGAUGGCUUGAGUUUGGGAGAGGGAUGCGGAAUUCCAGGUGUAGCGGUGAAAUGCGUAGAUAUCUGGAGGAAUACCGGUGGCGAAGGCGGCAUCCUGGACCGGCAUUGACGCUGAUGAGCGAAAGCUAGGGGAGCAAACGGG
rnacentral:rRNA from 1 species